UAGUCCACGCCGUAAACGAUGAUCACUCGAUAUUGGCGAUAAAAUGUCAGUGUCUAAGAGAAAUUGAUAAGUGAUCCACCUGGGGAGUACGAUCGCAAGGUUGAAACUCAAAGGAAUUGACGGGGGCCCGCACAAGCGGUGGAGCAUGUGGUUUAAUUCGAUGAUACGCGAGGAACCUUACCAGGGCUUAAAUGCAGAACGACCGCUUGGGAAACCAGGCUUUCUUCGGACGGUUUGCAAGGUGCUGCAUGGUUGUCGUCAGCUCGUGCCGUGAGGUGUCGGGUUAAGUCCCAUAACGAGCGCAACCCCUACCCUUAGUUGCCAGCGGAUAAUGCCGGGGACUCUGAGGGAACUGCCGGUGCAAACCGUGAGGAAGGUGGGGAUGACGUCAAAUCAUCACGGCCCUUACGUCCUGGGCUACACACGUGCUACAAUGGUGCAUACAGAGGGCAGCUACCUGGUGACAGGAUGCGAAUCUCGAAAGUGCAUCUCAGUUCGGAUC
rnacentral:rRNA from 1 species